GCCAAUCAAACACCGUGAUAGCUGGUUCUCCCCGAAAUGCAUUUAGGUGCAGCGUUGCGUGUUUCUUACUGGAGGUAGAGCUACUGGAUGGCUAAUGGGCCCUACAAGGUUACUGACGUCAGCCAAACUCCGAAUGCCGGUAAGUGAGAGCGUGGCAGUGAGACUGCGGGGGAUAAGCUUCGUAGUCGAGAGGGAAACAGCCCAGAACACCGACUAA
rnacentral:rRNA from 1 species